GAAGCCCAUGCUGCGUAAAAAAAUCUCUCGAUCCCCUCCUCUCUCUCCGAUGCAUCCGGUCGGUAGCACCCUGCGGCUGCUAGAUCCGUCCUCCCUUCAGAUCCACCAGCUCGACACUCUCCGCCAUAGCCAUGCCCACCAUGGCGGCCAGCAAGGCGUCCCUUGGCAUUCGGCCAUCCCCGUACGGCGUCAUCAUGUCAGCGGCUGCAUCCAACUCUACUAUUGGUCGUCGGCCGCGUACAGGAACUUUAAGUCAACCGGCUUGACGGCAACACGUACUGUGAGUUUCUUCCCAAAUCUGAAACUAUUUGGCCCAUAAAUUAUAAUCCCCUUGAGAAAGUCAGAGUCUUUAUGGAUCGGACUGGGUAAUGGAUGUUGACAAAUUUGAUUGCAGCAGGACCGACAAACAAAGUGCAGUGCUCACCGUUGUAGAUAUAUUCAGGGUAGCAUCAAACUUCAGUGAGAAUGAGCAUUACUAGGCAGCGAGCUUCAUGCAUCAUUGGAUUUGAGAAUUCUUUACUAUGGUGAAUUGUUUUUGUUUCUUGGAGACACUAACCGUAGCUUCUUAUUAGUGCCCAUGGUGAAAGAGCUAUAUUGUUGUGCCUUUCUUGGAUUCAGGUUCUUAAAUUCGAUAUUAGCUACCUGCAGGAGUAAUAUUUACCGACGAUGCUCAACAUGGCUGACCCCGCCGGCUGCACGCGGUACAUGCUCACACGCGACAACGGUCCGCACAUGUAUGCCGCGUCAGAGGUGUCGCUACGGCUCAUCGCUGAGCUACACCUAUGAGCACAUGUUUGCGCCUGACUACCUUGGCCCGCUCAUGGCCAUCGCAGACACUGUCAUAUUCAAAGAUUGAUUGAUCUGGUGCUCUGGAUCAUAGCUACACGUAGGAGUUAGUUCUGGCGCCUAAUUUGUGAAAAGGUUCAGAGGUUCUAUAGACAUUACUUCUUCUUGUUUUAUACUUUGUCCAAAUUGAGAUUUCAUUCCUAUUUUUUUCAAAAGUUAGUUUUAUCCAACAACAACAUAA